rnacentral:lncRNA from 1 species
CUUGAUUUGACAGACACACAGAUCCAUCAAACUCGGCAGUCAAAACUAAAACUAAUGUCCUGGGCUGGAAGGGGAACAAGCUUACCCAAAUUUAUUCUCAUUCAGAGAGUUACUGAAGGAUACAAUGCAAAGUACAUGGCCAUCCAGGGACAAAUUGACAAGUAGCGUCAGCAGUGGCUGCAGACAGCACUUCCUCAACAGAAGAAUGAAGGCCACCUCUGCCCUUCUCCACAGGAUCCCGAGCGUGAGUGGUGUUGGCCCCUGGAGCCUGCUACAAAGGGCAAAUCCUUAGAACUGGAAGAGGAAAAACUACCCAGUGGAAAGUCAACAUUUGAAAUUUAAGACUGGAGCAUGAUUUGGACAAAGUAAGGAUGCCAAGUUGUAUCUGCCGAUACCACUGCUGUCACUCAGAAGCUUUCUCACACUCCUCCUCCAGCAGCAAAAAACAAAGUGUCUAAGCUCAGCCAAAGCAGGACCAAUGAUGACAUGGAGCGACAGAACUUUCAGUGCACAGGAGACGGUUUAGUUAGUUCUUGCACUGGAGCCCUAUAAGACACAUAUGGAGCAUUCAGUCUAUGAAUGAAGCAAGUGUGAUCUUCAGGGAGAGCUGGCCAAAGCGUUAAAGUGCAUGGAUUUCAGAUAAGUCAGUGUGAACAUGUGGCGCUGUGUGAAUAAAAUGUGAUAGUGCCUAUCAGAACGAGCCUACAUCAUAUUCUUACUGACACAUCAAGCAAAGCUUUCCGUUCUGAGCCUGCCUAUUGGAUUUUGUUCUCAAUUGUUUCAUGAUAACUUGCUCCUGAAUUUUAAAACCAAACACUCCUCAUUUUCUCAUCAGGAAAGAUUUAAAGAAAGCACCAUGCAUUUAAGAGUCCAC